rnacentral:rRNA from 1 species
CUGCUGCCUCCCGUAGGAGUCUGGGCCGUGUCUCAGUCCCAAUGUGGCCGUCCACCCUCUCAGGCCGGCUACUGAUCGUCGGCUUGGUGAGCCGUUACCUCACCAACUACCUAAUCAGACGCGGGUCCAUCUUACACCACCUCAGUUUUUACCUCUGUACCAUGCGGUACCGGGGUCUUAUGCGGUAUUAGCAGUCAUUUCUAACUGUUAUCCCCCUGUGUAAGGCAGGUUACCCACGCGUUACUCACCCGUCCGCCG